rnacentral:lncRNA from 1 species
UUAGAGUCAUCAAUUCCAUUUUGACUCAUGCACCGACUUCACAAGUACUUGACUAUGCUCAGAAAUUUUUUGAUCCUGAAUUAGAAAUUCAGGUAGUCCAGCACCAAAGCACAAUGAGUUGCUUGCAAGUCACCGUGGUGAUCUCAGGUUAGAGGGACACUUAUACUCAUAUCCCUUCAGAGUGACUCUUGACAAUAAAGUACUCCAGAGUUGGUCAUGU